rnacentral:rRNA from 1 species
GACAGGGGGGGCGAGUGUUACUCAUCUUGACUGGGCGUAAAGGGCAUGUAGGUGGUUAAUAAAGUUUUUUGUAAAAUGCUGCAACCGGUUUGUAGACUACAUUUUAUACUUGUUAACUUGAGUUUGUUAGACGAAUGCUGUACUGUUAAUGUAAGGGUGAAAUCUCUUGAUAUUAAUGGGACAACCAAUGGCGAAGGCAGCUAUCGUAGGCAUAACUGACACUAAAAUGCGAAGGUGUGGGGAGCGAACGGG